rnacentral:rRNA from 1 species
GACGAACCGUCCAAACGUUAUUCGGAUUUACUGGGCUUAAAGGGUGCGUAGGCGGCUCAGAAAGUAGGGUGUGAAAGCCCUCGGCUCAACCGAGGAAUUGCGCCCUAAACUACUGGGCUGGAGGAAGACAGAGGUAAGCGGAACUUACGGUGGAGCGGUGAAAUGCGUUGAUAUCGUAAGGAACACCAGGAGCGAAAGCGGCUUACUGGGUCUUUUCUGACGCUGAGGCACGAAAGCUAGGGGAGCGAACGGG